rnacentral:rRNA from 1 species
UACGGAGGGGGCUAGCGUUGUUCGGAAUUACUGGGCGUAAAGCGCGCGUAGGCGGACCUGCAAGUCGGGGGUGAAAGCCCGAGGCUCAACCUCGGAACUGCCUUCGAUACUGCGGGUCUCGAGUCCGGGAGAGGUGAGUGGAAUUCCUAGUGUAGAGGUGAAAUUCGUAGAUAUUAGGAAGAACACCAGUGGCGAAGGCGGCUCAGUGGCCCGGUACUGACGCUGAGGCGCGAAAGCGUGGGGAGCAAACAGG